rnacentral:rRNA from 1 species
AGAGUUUGAUCCUGGCUCAGGACGAACGCUGGCGGCGUGCUUAACACAUGCAAGUCGAACGGAAAGGCCCUGCUUUUGUGGGGUGCUCGAGUGGCGAACGGGUGAGUAACACGUGAGUAACCUGCCCUUGACUUUGGGAUAACUUCAGGAAACUGGGGCUAAUACCGGAUAGGAGCUCCUGCUGCAUGGUGGGGGUUGGAAAGUUUCGGCGGUUGGGGAUGGACUCGCGGCUUAUCAGCUUGUUGGUGGGGUAGUGGCUUACCAAGGCUUUGACGGGUAGCCGGCCUGAGAGGGUGACCGGCCACAUUGGGACUGAGAUACGGCCCAGACUCCUACGGGAGGCAGCAGUGGGGAAUAUUGCACAAUGGGCGGAAGCCUGAUGCAGCAACGCCGCGUGCGGGAUGACGGCCUUCGGGUUGUAAACCGCUUUCGCCUGUGACGAAGCGUGAGUGACGGUAAUGGGUAAAGAAGCACCGGCUAACUACGUGCCAGCAGCCGCGGUGAUACGUAGGGUGCGAGCGUUGUCCGGAUUUAUUGGGCGUAAAGGGCUCGUAGGUGGUUGAUCGCGUCGGAAGUGUAAUCUUGGGGCUUAACCCUGAGCGUGCUUUCGAUACGGGUUGACUUGAGGAAGGUAGGGGAGAAUGGAAUUCCUGGUGGAGCGGUGGAAUGCGCAGAUAUCAGGAGGAACACCAGUGGCGAAGGCGGUUCUCUGGGCCUUUCCUGACGCUGAGGAGCGAAAGCGUGGGGAGCGAACAGGCUUAGAUACCCUGGUAGUCCACGCUGUAAACGGUGGGUACUAGGUGUGGGGUCCAUUCCACGGGUUCCGUGCCGUAGCUAACGCUUUAAGUACCCCGCCUGGGGAGUACGGCCGCAAGGCUAAAACUCAAAGGAAUUGACGGGGCCCCGCACAAGCGGCGGAGCAUGCGGAUUAAUUCGAUGCAACGCGUAGAACCUUACCUGGGUUUGACAUGGAUCGGGAGUGCUCAGAGAUGGGUGUGCCUCUUUUGGGGUCGGUUCACAGGUGGUGCAUGGCUGUCGUCAGCUCGUGUCGUGAGAUGUUGGGUUAAGUCCCGCAACGAGCGCAACCCUUGUUCACUGUUGCCAGCACGUUAUGGUGGGGACUCAGUGGAGACCGCCGGGGUCAACUCGGAGGAAGGUGGGGAUGACGUCAAGUCAUCAUGCCCCUUAUGUCCAGGGCUUCACGCAUGCUACAAUGGCUGGUACAGAAAGUGGCGAGCCUGUGAGGGUGAGCGAAUCUCGGAAAGCCGGUCUCAGUUCGGAUUGGGGUCUGCAACUCGACCUCAUGAAGUCGGAGUCGCUAGUAAUCGCAGAUCAGCAACGCUGCGGUGAAUACGUUCCCGGGGCUUGUACACACCGCCCGUCAAGUCAUGAAAGUUGGUAACACCCGAAGCCGGUGGCCUAACCGUUGUGGGGGAGCCGUCGAAGGUGGGACUGGUGAUUAGGACUAAGUCGUA